rnacentral:rRNA from 1 species
GACGAACGCUGGCGGCGUGCCUAAUACAUGCAAGUAGAACGCACAGUUUAUACCGUAGCUUGCUACACCAUAAACUGUGAGUUGCGAACGGGUGAGUAACGCGUAGGUAACCUGCCUGGUAGCGGGGGAUAACUAUUGGAAACGAUAGCUAAUACCGCAUAAUAUUGAUUAUUGCAUGAUAAUUGAUUGAAAGAUGCUAUUGCAUCACUACCAGAUGGACCUGCGUUGUAUUAGCUAGUAGGUGAGGUAACGGCUCACCUAGGCGACGAUACAUAGCCGACCUGAGAGGGUGAUCGGCCACACUGGGACUGAGACACGGCCCAGACUCCUACGGGAGGCAGCAGUAGGGAAUCCUCGGCAAUGGACGAAAGUCUGACCGAGCAACGCCGCGUGAGUGAAGAAGGUUUUCGGAUCGUAAAGCUCUGUUGUAAGAGAAGAACGGGUGUGAGAGUGGAAAGUUCACACUGUGACGGUAUCUUACCAGAAAGGGACGGCUAACUACGUG